UUGUGUAUGAAACACAGCAGGUAUCCCAUUGAGGCCUUGCUUUGUGUAUGAAACACAGCAGGUAUCCCAUUGAGGCCUUGCUUUGUGUAUGAAACACAGCAGGUAUCCCAUUGAGGCCUUGCUUUGUGUAUGAAACACAGCAGGUAUCCCAUUGAGGCCUUGCUUUGUGUAUGAAACACAGCAGGUAUCCCAUUGAGGCCUUGCUUUGUGUAUGAAACACAGCAGGUAUCCCAUUGAGGCCUUGCUUUGUGUAUGAAACACAGCAGGUAUCCCAUUGAGGCCUUGCUUUGUGUAUGAAACACAGCAGGUAUCCCAUUGAGGCCUUGCUUUGUGUAUGAAACACAGCAGAUAUCCCAUUGAGGCCUUGCUUUGUGUAUGAAACACAGCAGGUAUCCCAUUGAGGCCUUGCUUUGUGUAUGAAACACAGCAGGUAUCCCAUUGAGGCCUUGCUUUGUGUAUGAAACACAGCAGGUAUCCCAUUGAGGCCUUGCUUUGUGUAUGAAACACAGCAGGUAUCCCAUUGAGGCCUUUGUCCUAUGCUGUAAUGUCCAUACUUCCCUCCUCUUAUCAAUAAAGUUUUCAAUAAAUUAUUGGGUUAUUAAAUGAAGAUAUGACUGGAGUUCUCUCUGGGGACAAAUCUACAGUUAUAAAAAGUGUCCAAGUAGGCUUCUGUGGCUAUUUGAUCAUAAUGUUGGGCCUACCAGAGUGGCCUACCAUCAAAAAUAAUGGAUAAAACGCAAAGCAUAACAUUUUAACAGUGGUGGAAAAAGGUAUCCGAUUGUCAUACUUGAGUAAAAGUCAAGAUACCUUAAUUAAAAAUGACUCACCCAGUAAAAUACUACUUGAGUAUUGCAUUUUAAAAAUACUUGUAAUUCCUAAAAUAUACUUAAGUAUCAAUAGUAAAAGUAUAAAUCAUUUCAAAUUCCUUACAAAGCAGACGGCACAAUUGUCUUUAAAAAAAAAUGUAAGUGACGAAUAGCUAAGGGCAAACUCCAACACUUAGACAUAAUUUACAAAUGAAGCAUUUGUGUUUUAGUGAGUCCUCCAGAUCAGAGGCAGUAGGGAUGAUCAGAGAUGUUCUCUGUUUAGUGAGUCCUCCAGAUCAGAGACGGUAGGGAUGACCAGGGAUGUUCUCUGUUUAGUGAGGCCUCCAGAUCAGAGUCAGUAGGGAUGACCAGGGAUGUUCUCUGUUUAGUGAGUCCUCCAGAUCAGAGGCAGUAGGGAUGACCAGGGAUGUUCUCUGUUUAGUGAGUCCUCCAGAUCAGAGGCAGUAGAGAUGACCAGGGAUGUUCUCUGUUUAGUGAGUCCUCCAGAUCAGAGGCAGUAGAGAUGAUCAGGGAUGUUCUCUGUUUAGUGAGUCCUCCAGUUCAGAGGCAGUAGGGAUGACCAGGGAUGUUCUCUGUUUAGUGAGUCCUCCAGAUCAGAGGCAGUAGAGAUGACCAGGGAUGUUCUCUGUUAAGUGAGUCCUCCAGAUCAGAGGCCGUAGGGAUGACCAGGGAUGUUCUCUGUUUAGUGAGUCCUCCAGAUCAGAGGCAGUAGGGAUGACCA